CAGCGGGCUCACACCCUGUUGCAGUGUAAUCACAUCUAAUCUCGUUGAGCUCUGCUCAAAAUAGCCAUAAUUGGUGGUUUUAUCCAAAUCAAUAAAGACAGCUUCUACAUAUUGAUUAUCAUCCAGGGUAUAAAAUCAUCAUCAGUUACCUGGAAAAGAGAAGCAGUCUGCCAAGGGAAAAGGUCAGAUAUUCCAUUUUGAACAGGGGAGGGAAGGGGGAGGCGGAACCAGUGAAUUUUAAGGUAAUAGUAUCAAAUUACCUGAAAAUGCACACAGUGUGUUCUUGUAAUUUGCAACAACAGAGAGCCCAGAAAUAGGUCAAUCAUUUAAGUGAGUCUUCAAGUCUUUUCUCUUGGUGAUGCACUGAGCUAGUGUGCAUUAGUAGUCUUAAAGGGACUAGGGCCAACCAAGACAGAGAGGGAGUCACAGGGCUCCUUCCUUCUUGUGUUUUACAACCCAUAGCGGUACAGUUUCAGUCAAAGAGGUGGCUCCACUUGAUUUCUUGUAUCCAGUUAACAAUCAACAGAGAUUCUUGGUCACUGUCAUCAGUGAUUAUGGGAAAAGUCACAAGGGGAAAGUGACUGGACUAGUCCAUCGGAGAACCUGGAGGCAGAGAGUGGAGAUGUUCACUGCCAAGAUGAGUUAGAAGGCAUUUUCCACAAUGGCAAAGGCAGAAGCAGCCUGGCCGAUUCUAAAGGGUGCAUUUUUAACUGCAGUUUAAAAUGAACUGGUUCUGUUAUUUAUUGCAAGAUGAAGAUCAUUAUUCUAUUCUUCUUUCUAGCAAAUAUUACUAUAAAAAUUGCCUUAAAUGAUUCAACAUCAUUCAUGUAAAGCACAAUACAAAGUAGACAAUCCAUUUAUAAUCUUUUUAUUGCAACAUAAUAAAACUGGUCCUGGGCAAUUCUUGAGCCCUUUUCCUCUUCUGUUAAAUGAAAAUGGUAGUGAUGACAGUAUCUUCCACACAGAGCUUUUCUGAGAAAUUCAAAUAUAUAGAUAAAAUAACAAGAAAUAGAUGGUGCUCAACAAAUAACUAGAGAUUUUGCCUUUUAAAAAAUGAUUUAUGUGAAUUCUCUUAAAGUUUUUAUCUAUAUAAGUAUAUCAUCUUUAUACACCUCUGAUUAUCACAGAAAUACCACUGGUAUCACCUUAAAUUUUCCCUCUAGUUCUUUCUUAAUAAAUAUGCCAUUGCAAGAGCUGCAUAAAAUUCUGUUCAGUGGAUAUUUACUUAAUUCAUUUCCUAUUUUAAAUGUUAUAUUUCUAUGAGAUAAUAUUUCAAUGAGUGUCUCUGGCACACAGGUUAUUCUUCCUUUGAGAUUAUUUUCUUCAGUAUAAUGUGAAGUGGAGUUUUGGGGUCCAAAGGUAUUGUAAUACCACAGGCACUGGAAGUAGAAAGGUUUAACCUGGAACAGAAACCGUAUACUAAUCUUAUUAGGUGAAUAACGGUCACAGCCAAAGUUAGUUUGUAAUGCAACAGUAUUAGGUAGAAAAUCAGUACAGUUUCCAUUUUAUAGGUGAAAAAACUGAAAAUUUAGAGAGGAUAUUUAAGAGUUGACACCUAAAACAGUCAAGAAAUAGACUAAUGGCCUUCACCUACCACCGGUGUUGUUGAGGAAAAGCAGGCUGGUCAACGAUAUUCUUGCAUGUCCUGGGCUAGAUGGCUGCACUGUAACAGUGGAGGAGGGACUGAGGUGUGAGGAUGGAGGGAACACAGGUGUGUAGCUUGACACAGGACUAGAACCUAUAAUUGGCUGACUCUUGAUGACCAUCUACUGUGACAUGCCCAUUAAUGAUCCCCGAGUUUUUCACUCUAAAAAUGGAGGAUUCCAGUGCUCCCAUUGGAUGUGAUGGUUGAAUAGAUUUCCUGCCAAAGAUUUGACUUCCAUUUUUGCUUUCAUGGAGGCAGAGAACCAGGGCAGAUCUUAACCUUCAGCUGCUGGAUUUUAUUUAGCUUAAUUAUUGCAAUUAUAAUUUUAUAUGAGUUCAUAGAGGAUUUUGGUUUACGAACAAUGACUACAUUUUUAAUAUUUUGGAAUAGCAAAUAAUAAACCACAAAAUUAGCAGAAUGAAUGAAGAGAAUAAAAUGGCAUCACUGAAAGCCAGGGGUUUUUGUGAUUUUUUUAAUUUUUAAGAAUUUUAAAAAAAAUUUUUAUUUUUUUGGCCUUUGAUUACAUUUAUCUUUAUAAACUAAAAUGUUCUUAGAUGGCAGUGUUCAAGACAAACCCAGGAAGCGGAUAGUCUUCUAAGCCAUGAAUAUGGUUACCAGCAGCUGCUGCCUUGCUGCUCCCAGGCCCAGGAGGUCCAUCCUUUACUCCCUAACACUCCCCUCUCUGUACAUUUCUCCUGACUUAUGGGAUCUGUUGCCAUGACUUCAGUUAUACUCUCUGUAGAUGACGUCAGUGUCCACAGCUCUCGCUCAAGUUUCAGACUGGUGUGGGUGGGCACCUACCUGCUUCUCCAAUUGGAUAGCCCUUGAACACAUUCAAUUAAAUGUUUUCUCUUCCCCCACACCUUAUCUGCUGCCCCAUCCUACCCCUAACCUCAUUCCAAGUGUUUUUCCCCUUUGUCUUUGAAGCAUCUAUGAAUGGCUCUGUCAUCUACCCUGUUACCCAGCCAAACCAGGGCUUUAUCCUUCUCUCCUUCCUCCUUUUUAUGUUCAAGUCAUCAUAAAAUUAUUCACUUUGGUCUGCUGAGUAUCACUAUGAUUCUGAAAUCCCUCCUUUGAGUCUCUGUGUUAUCUUCUCCAGUUCAUCCCCUUCCCAUCUCUGGCCUGGACCAGACUGAUAGCUCCUUCAGUGGCCUCUCUGUUUCCAGCAUUGGCUCUCUUCAGUCUAACUUUGCUGCCAAAAUUAAUAUUCUAAUAAACAAAGGUGACCAUGUGCCUUCUUUGUUUAAACCUUUUCAAUGACUUAACAUGAUGGGCCAGGAAGUCAGUACAUAACACACACGUGUGUGUACGAGUGAAUGAGUAUGAGAUAGUGACAGAACUCCUCUUAACUCAUGACACCCUUCAUGAACGGCCUCUGCCUCCAUUUCUAGCCAUACUUCCCUUAAUCUCUAACCUACUACUUUAAAUACUAGUUGUUUCGCAAAUAUACCACAUUGCUUCACUUCUCUGGACAGACCUGGAGAGCUCUUCCUCAUUUUCUUUAUUUGGGUAAUUUUUAGAUUUCCUCUAGGACUCAGCUUCUGUGUCAUAUCCUCUGGCUCACCAUUUCUAAUUCAGUUUUCCUCAAAACACUUACUUAUCCUGCAAUGUGCCAGGAAUUAUGGCACAAACAAAAUGGCAAAUUAGAUCAUUUUUGCUCUCAGGGGAGGAGGAAACAGACCUAUGAGGAGACAGACAUGGAAACACAUAAAUAUCAUUCAUUCAUUGAAAGAAGAACUAUGAGGAAUCAAGAAAAUGGUGAACAGGAAGGAGGAGAAAUACAAAAUUUACUUGAUCUAUUCUACCUGUAGAAAUUGCAAGGUUGGUGUAAAAAAUAAUCCAAGCAAAUGGACCAACAUGCACAAAAACUUGGAAGUAUGAAAGGAACUGGAGGGGUGAUGUUAGGGAUUGAAUUGUGUCCCCCAAAAUUCAUAUGUUGAAGUCCUAAGCCUCAGUACCUCAGGAUGUGACCUUAUUUGGAAAAGAUGUCUUUUUUUUUCUUGGCUUUUUUCUUUUUUGUGGCAUAUGGAGUUCCUGGGCCAUGGAUCAGAUCUGAGCCACAGUAUUAAACUAUGCUGCAGCUGUGGCAAAGCCGGAUCUUUAACCCACUGUGUGGGGCUGGGCAUGGAAUCUUCAUCCUGGUGCUGCAGAGAUGCUGUCAAUCCCAUUUCGUCAUAUCAGGAACUGCAGAAAUGGGGUCUUUGCAGGAAUAAUCAAGUAAAAUUGAGGUCAUUAGGGUGGAUUUGUAUCCAUCCAUAUUGACUGGUACCUUGAUCUUGAACUUCUAGUCUCCAGAAUUUCUAAGACAAUGCAUUUCUGUUAUUUAGCUACCUGAUCUGUGGUACUUUGUUACAGAGGCUUUAUUAAACUGAUACAGAUGGAAGUUUGUUUGAGUUUAAAGAUGGUAAGAAUAGGCAGAAUUGAGAACAAAUUAUGGAAAGCCUUAUGUGAUGAUACACUGAGGUUUCCUUUGCGGAUUAAAGUUUGGUUUGUUUGUUUGUUUGUUUUUGCUUUUCAGGGCCCCACCUGAGGCCUAUGGAGGUGCCCAGGCUAGGGGUCAAAUUGGAGCUGUAGCUGCUGGCCUGCGCCACAGCCACAGCAGUGCAGGAUCCAACCUGCAUCUUCGACCUACACCACAGCUCACGCCAACACCAGAUCCUUAACCCACUGAGCAAGGCCGGGGACUGAACCUGCAUCCUCAUGGAUGCUAGUCAGAUUUGUUAACCCCUGAGCCACAAUGGGAACUCCAUGUGGAUUAAAGUUUGGGAAUUCAUUUUGUCAGUGAUUAACUGCAGCAAAGACAAGCAAUUGAAGACUGAAUUUGAGAAAGCCCAUUCUGAUGGAUGGACAGAGGAGGGGUCAGGGAUCAAGAAGCCUGGGGAAUGACUGACUACAAAGCAGCUGUGGCAGUAGUUCAGAUCCAAGGGCCUGACAGCUUGGGCCAGUGCAGUGGCUGGGGGUUGCAGAAGAUGAAACAGGGUAAAAAAAAAAAAUUUAGGAGGGAACUUGGGCAGAACUUGACUGGAAGUGUAAGUAACGCUGCCAAAUUGCUUUGUCUUUAUGUGGGGCUAACUGAGCUUAUGCCUGAAAGUCCAAAUAAACAAGUCAAAGAAGAAAUUGUCAUUAAUAUUCUUCCUCCCAAGCAUGAUGGCAUGGUCCAGACACUUAGAAACCAUAGUCCUAAUACUUCAAUAUUAAAGAACAAUGGGACUUCACUAAAAUCGAUUAUGUAAAAGCCUACGAACAAAUGAAACUGUUAGAAGAAGUUACCAAGAGAAUAAUGAAGAAAACAUCAUUGAUUUCCUUCUGGAGACAGCAAGAAUUUUUUUUUUCCUUUUCCCUUUCAUCAUUCUUUUCCUCUUUCCUCCUUUCAACAAUUAAUUCCUGAACUCCAGCUUCAUGUGAGGAGCUACAUUUAAUGCUGGAGCACCUAGAAAACAAACAAAACUUUGUAAAAGGAGCUUAUGAUUUACCAGAGGAGAGAUGUAUAAGCAAGAAUCAUAAUGUAGUGUAGUAAUGGCUGUAGGCAUGCCAAGCUGAUGGGCAAUGCCUGCUCUGAUUGAAGGAAUUAGGGAAGACUUCCUGCAACUGCUAACUCUUGAGUUAGAUCUCAAAAACAGUAGAGAAGGUUUCAAUGUUCUAGACUGUGGGAGAGGGUGGUGUCUUCAGGGAAGUGCAAACAGUUAUGACUGCUGAAUUAUGCCAUCUCAGGGCAGGCAGGAAUGAGCCAAGUGAAGAGGCUGAAAGAAGAGCCUAGAGGUCUGAGCUUGCAAGCCUAAUAUUUUGUCUCUGAAAUCACCAGUGUAGAUUAUGACACCAGAAAAUUUUUUUUUAAAUUGAAGUUAAUUCAUAAUGUUGUGUUAGUUUCUAGAGUGCAGCAAAAUGAUUCAGUUACACACACAUACAUAUAUAUUCCUUUUCAUAUUCUUUUCUAUUAUAGUUUAUUACGAGAUAUUUAAUAUAGUUCCCUAUGCUAUACAAUAUGACCUUGUUUAUCUAGUUUAUAUAUAAUAGUUUGUAUCUGCUAAUCCCAAUAUGACCUUAUUUAUCUAGUUUAUAUAUAAUAGUUUGUAUCUGCUAAUCCAAAACUCCUAGUUUAUUUCCCAUUUCCCUUUGGGUAACCCUAAAUUUGUUUUCUAUGUCUGUCAGUCUAUUUCUGUUUUGUAAAUAAGUUUAUUUGCAUCAUAUUUUAGAUUCCACAUAUAAGUGAUAUCAUAUGUUUGUUCUUUACUUCAUUUUGCCUGAUAGUGUCUAGGUCUAUCCAUAUGUUUGCAAAUGGCAUUAUUUCACUCUUUUUUACAAUUGGGUAGUAUUCUAUUGUUUUUAUAUACCACAUCUUCUUUAUCCAUUCAUCUACUGAUAGCCAUUUAGGUUGCUUCCAUGUCUUGGCUUUUUGCUGCUAUGAACAUUGGGGUGCAUAUAUCUAUUAAAAUUCUUUUUCUCUGAAUAUAUGCCUGGGAGUGGGAUUGCUGACACCAAAAAGCUUCUGACUCCAGAGAAGAAAGAGGAUUUUCCAGACCCUCUUUUCUCAAUCAUUCAGCCUUCAGAAUAAUU
rnacentral:lncRNA from 1 species